rnacentral:rRNA from 1 species
GAGGAAUAUUGCGCAAUGGGCGAAAGCCUGACGCAGCGACGCCGCGUGAGGGAUGAAGGUUUUAGGAUCGUAAACCUCUGUUAAGUGGGAAGAAAAGUUAGAUUUUAAUAGAGUCUAAUCAUGACGGUACCAUUAGAGAAAGCACCGGCUAACUUCGUGCCAGCAGCCGCGGUAAUACGAGGGGUGCAAACGUUAUUCGGAAUUAUUGGGCGUAAAGGGUGUGCAGGCGGUAUUUUAAGUCUACUGUUAAAGAUCUCGGCCUAACCGAGAAAAAGCAGUGGAUACUGGGAUACUAGAGGAUGGAAGAGAGAAGUGGAAUUCUUGGAGUAGCGGUAAAAUGCGUAGAUCUCAAGAGGAACACCAAUGGCGAAGGCAGCUUCUUGGUCCAUUCCUGACGCUGAUACACGAAAGCGUGGGGAGCAAAC